AUUGAACGCUGGCGGCAGGCCUAACACAUGCAAGUCGAACGAGUGGCGGACGGGUGAGUAAUGUCUGGGAAACUGCCUGAUGGCGGGGGAUAACUACUGGAAACGGUAGCUAAUACCGCAUACCAUCAGAUGUGCCCAGAUGGGAUUAGCUAGUUGGUGGGGUAACGGCUCACCACGGCGACGAUCCCUAGCUGGUCUGAGAGGAUGACCAGCCACAAUGGAACUGAUACACGGUCCAGACUCCUACGGGAGGCAGCAGUGGGGAAUAUUGCACAAUGGGCGCAAGCCUGAUGCAGCCAUGCCGCGUGUAUGAAGAAGGCCGUGGGGUUGUAAAGUACUUUCAGCGGGGAGGCGUUACCCGCAGAAGAAGCACCGGCUAACUCCGUGCCAGCAGCCGCGGUAAUUC
rnacentral:rRNA from 1 species